GAUGAACGCUGGCGGCGUGCCUAAUACAUGCAAGUCGAGCGAACGGACGAGAAGCUUGCUUCUCUGAUGUCAGCGGCGGACGGGUGAGUAACACGUGGAUAACCUACCUAUAAGACUGGGAUAACUUCGGGAGACCGGAGCUAAUACCGGAUAAUAUUUUGAACCGCAUGGUUCAAAAGUGAAAGACGGUCUUGCUGUCACUUAUAGAUGGAUCCGCGCUGCAUUAGCUAGUUGGUAAGGUAACGGCUUACCAAGGCAACGAUGCAUAGCCGACCUGAGAGGGUGAUCGGCCACACUGGAACUGAGACACGGUCCAGACUCCUACGGGAGGCAGCAGUAGGGAAUCUUCCGCAAUGGGCGAAAGCCUGACGGAGCAACGCCGCGUGAGUGAUGAAGGUCUUCGGAUCGUAAAACUCUGUUAUUAGGGAAGAACAUAUGUGUAAGUAACUGUGCACAUCUUGACGGUACCUAAUCAGAAAGCCACGGCUAACUACGUGCCAGCAGCCGCGGUAAUACGUAGGUGGCAAGCGUUAUCCGGAAUUAUUGGGCGUAAAGCGCGCGUAGGCGGUUUUUUAAGUCUGAUGUGAAAGCCCACGGCUCAACCGUGGAGGGUCAUUGGAAACUGGAAAACUUGAGUGCAGAAGAGGAAAGUGGAAUUCCAUGUGUAGCGGUGAAAUGCGCAGAGAUAUGGAGGAACACCAGUGGCGAAGGCGACUUUCUGGUCUGUAACUGACGCUGAUGUGCGAAAGCGUGGGGAUCAAACAGGAUUAGAUACCCUGGUAGUCCACGCCGUAAACGAUGAGUGCUAAGUGUUAGGGGGUUUCCGCCCCUUAGUGCUGCAGCUAACGCAUUAAGCACUCCGCCUGGGGAGUACGACCGCAAGGUUGAAACUCAAAGGAAUUGACGGGGACCCGCACAAGCGGUGGAGCAUGUGGUUUAAUUCGAAGCAACGCGAAGAACCUUACCAAAUCUUGACAUCCUUUGACAACUCUAGAGAUAGAGCCUUCCUCUUCGGGGGACAAAGUGACAGGUGGUGCAUGGUUGUCGUCAGCUCGUGUCGUGAGAUGUUGGGUUAAGUCCCGCAACGAGCGCAACCCUUAAGCUUAGUUGCCAUCAUUAAGUUGGGCACUCUAAGUUGACUGCCGGUGACAAACCGGAGGAAGGUGGGGAUGACGUCAAAUCAUCAUGCCCCUUAUGAUUUGGGCUACACACGUGCUACAAUGGACAAUACAAAGGGCAGCGAAACCGCGAGGUCAAGCAAAUCCCAUAAAGUUGUUCUCAGUUCGGAUUGUAGUCUGCAACUCGACUACAUGAAGCUGGAAUCGCUAGUAAUCGUAGAUCAGCAUGCUACGGUGAAUACGUUCCCGGGUCU
rnacentral:rRNA from 1 species